UACGUAGGUGGCAAGCGUUGUCCGGAAUUAUUGGGCGUAAAGGGCGCGUAGGCGGCACCUUAAGUCAGAUGUGAAAACCCGGGGCCCAACUCCGGAGGUGCAUUUGAAACUGGGGAGCUAGAGUGCAGGAGAGGAAAGUGGAAUUCCUAGUGUAGCGGUGAAAUGCGUAGAUAUUAGGAGGAACACCAGUGGCGAAGGCGACUUUCUGGACUGUAACUGACGCUGAGGCGCGAAAGCGUGGGGAGCAAACAGG
rnacentral:rRNA from 1 species